UUGUAAAUAAGAUAUUGUUUUUAACUGACUUGCCAAGUUAAAAUAAAGGUUAAAUAAAAAAAAUAAACCAAUUCGAUACUGUUAUGUUUGGAUAUACUGUAUGUUUUCUAUAGCUCUCUCUGUGAGUCUAUAGAGCGCUGUGCUAGGUAUCUGUGGGAGAAUCAUCACACCCGAAGCAAGAGUGUGUGUGCUUCACGUGGUCGCUGGAGCGAGACACACUCCAAUGCUGAUGUUAGCCGACAUUCCCCUCAGGCCAGAGAAUGGAGCAUGCGUGGAGACAGUCGUCAUCCCCCCUCACACACACUGUUCCCAUCCAACCAUUUGAUGCGGAUUAAUUACCUGACACAAGAGAGAAGUCACGACCGGGCUGAUGGAAACAGGAAAUGCAGGGUGAACUUCCUGUUUGAAGCUUUCUCUGCCAAUGAUGUCACACCAAUGAAGUGAUGUGAUUUUAAUAAUGUGGUUUCUCUGCAAGGGCUUAGUAACGAUAAUUUAGAUUUUGACUUGACAGACCAAGAAAUAAAAAUGUCAGAAUUAAGCUGUCCGAGUUUAUAUCAGGUCCCACUCUUUCUGAAUUCACUCUACUUUGUUGUUGUAUUUUUUCAAGUCGGUAAUUUUACUUUUACUUAAGUACUGUAUGUUUUGAAUGAGGUAUUGUACUUCGCUACCUUUUUAAACCCAUCCAUAACAGUGUACCAUUUUAUAGGCUAUCCAUAAUAGAAGUGAUGAAAAAAAUUAUACUUGAGUAAAAUUAAAGAUACCUUAAUAGAAAAUGACUCAAGUAAAAGUGAAAGUCACCCAGUAAAAUACUUCUUCAGUAAAAAUCUAAAAGUAUUAGGUUUUAAAUAUACUUAAAGAUACACUAUGCAGAAAUCGCUCCACCAUUUCCUGGUUGCUGAAAUUCUAAAAGUUUGCCUAAAUUCAGUUUAUGUGACAAAACAAGCAAGUAUAGUGUAGAGAAUCAUUGUACAUCUAAACAGCUGUGAGAUACAGUAUAUUUUCCGAUAACCAAAAAUACUGUAUUUUCAGCUGUUGGAAGCUGCAGUACAAAACCGAAAGUAAAAGGAGCAAAAACGAAACUUAAGAACGGGAAGCAUAGAAAAAGCCACAUAGAAUAUCUACCUCUUCUUACACUUGCUUUCAAUGAGAAUGACAGAUCUAUAACACAUAUUUCUAUGUGAAUUUGGUCGGGUCUCCCAAAAAGUUACAUAUUGCAGACAUCCCAUUUUUAGAUGGUUAUUUCCAUUGUUAGAGCGGCCACUAGGUUGGGCCACUAGAUUAUCUGGUCAAUAUAAUGGAUAAUCUGUGAUAUUACUCAAAUGUAAACUUGCUUACUUACUACAUCUCGACCGCUACAUCCGGAGGUAUUGAAGCAUGGUAGUAUGAACAGAAUUGUCUCAUUGCGCCAACACUCCUGUAUAAAUGGUAAUAGCAGAGUAAUGUUUUUUAUUUUUUUUUAAAUGUAUAGACAUUUUCCUAAUAUUUGAGACUUGUUUUAUUGAGUUUUUACCCAAAAUUGCAAUCUGUUACAUUUUGAAAUUGUCUCAGUAGCUGUCGGCUGCACUGAGCCACAUAAAACUAUGUAAAAUGCAGAUCAUACAAUCAUUUUUUUAUUUGUAACAUUGUGUGGUGAUUUCAGAGGUGGCACCACAGGUCCCAGAGUGAUGUCCCAGAAAUUGUUUUCCUGGGGCCCCUGAGUUUUUCCUGAUCUAGUAGUAGGCUAACCUAACCAACUCCGGACCCUAGUUGUAGCUAGCAUAUGACAAAGUAAUAAAUCAGGUGUAAAAAAAAAAGAUUUUAUAUAGGCUAUGAUGGAACCAGAUUAUUUUCAUAAUCAGGUUUUAUGUUUUAUUUUUUAAAACAGGGUUGCAUCAUGUAGGCCUUUGCAUCUGUAAUGAAAAAGAUACUCAUACAGUAUGUCAUCACUAUUGUGGUGAUUGAAUAAUUCUAGUCAAUAAUAUUGUAUUAAAAAGGUCUAGGUAGCACCUAGCCACACCUGAAGUAUGGCUAGGCUGAGAACAACACAUUCUGAGAACCUUAUGUUUCUUAGGACAACCACGCUCUCACUUAGCUAUAUGCUUAUGUAACCGAUGUGAAAUGGCAAGUUAGUUAGCGGUGGUGCGCGCUAAUAGCGUUUCAAUCGGUGACGUCACUCGCUCUGAGACCUGAAGUGGUUGUUCCCCUUGCGUUGCAAGGGCCGCGGUUUUUGUGGCGCGAUGGGUAACGAUGCUUCGUGGGUGUCAGUUGUUGAUGUGUGCAAGGGUCCCUGGUUCGAGCCCAGGUUGGGGCGAAGAGAGGGACGGAACCUACACUGUUACACUUAUUUUGCAUAAAACCUUCCCAAACAUUCUGGGAAUGGUGCAGGAUAGUUGCUUGGCUUUGGAACAUUCUCAGCUCAUUUAAGGAAUAAAAUAACGUUAUUUUCUUGGCAUUUCACUACUUUAACAGACCGUUUCCUAAAAGUUGAAUAAUGGUUACAUUUAUGUACGUUCUCCAACUGGUUUGACAUUAGGAAUGUUCUCAAAACGUUCAGAGAACAUUGAGAAACAACUUUCUCCAGUGGGAAUUUCAAUACUUUAGCGUAACGUUUCCAACAGGUUUCAAAGAGACAGAGCAACAGAGGCAGCAUUCAUCUGAUGAAGAUGAUUUCUCCUCAUCACUGAUGCCCAAAAGGUCACAAGGCACAGGGUGGCUGGAUGGGUACCUUGCCUGUGUGUCAGACAAGAUGGACUUGCUUCAUUCCUUUCCAUACAUAAAUAAGCAGCCCCUCAAACUGAACUCAGGCCUGCCUGCCUCUGCCGCCCGUGAGCGUCUUUUUUUAGCUUUGUUGGACUGUUCUUCACUGCAAAGCGAGCCAGUAUAGGCUCAAUUCACUUUGAAAAUCAGCACCUGAAACUAAACAGCAAGUUCAGAGAGAAGUGAAAGCGUUAGAACAAAACUCGUUUGUUUUUGCGCAAAGGAACACUACAUAACCUAAUGUACUCUAAUGCAACAUAUGUAGCCCUUUCUCUAUUUCAGGGGGGUUUGCUCAUACAUUAUUAUUUCCAGGAUGUUCUGUUGUUGCCUCCAGAGCUCAUUUGACAUCAAAUCCUUUAGGUAUGUUCAGUGUGUAAUUCAUCAGUACAUUUUAAUAGAUUUUAAUGUUGAAUUUAUUUUCAAAUAUUAGUAAUAUUGACAAAUCCUUCCUUUUUUGUAUACA